GUGAACACGGAGCUUGCUCUGUGGGAUCAGUGGCGAACGGGUGAGUAACACGUGAGCAACCUGCCCCUGACUCUGGGAUAAGCGCUGGAAACGGCGUCUAAUACUGGAUAUGUGACGUGACCGCAUGGUCUGCGUCUGGAAAGAAUUUCGGUUGGGGAUGGGCUCGCGGCCUAUCAGCUUGUUGGUGAGGUAAUGGCUCACCAAGGCGUCGACGGGUAGCCGGCCUGAGAGGGUGACCGGCCACACUGGGACUGAGACACGGCCCAGACUCCUACGGGAGGCAGCAGUGGGGAAUAUUGCACAAUGGGCGCAAGCCUGAUGCAGCAACGCCGCGUGAGGGACGACGGCCUUCGGGUUGUAAACCUCUUUUAGCAGGGAAGAAGCGAAAGUGACGGUACCUGCAGAAAAAGCGCCGGCUAACUACGUGCCAGCAGCCGCGGUAAUACGUAGGGCGCAAGCGUUAUCCGGAAUUAUUGGGCGUAAAGAGCUCGUAGGCGGUUUGUCGCGUCUGCUGUGAAAUCCGGAGGCUCAACCUCCGGCCUGCAGUGGGUACGGGCAGACUAGAGUGCGGUAGGGGAGAUUGGAAUUCCUGGUGUAGCGGUGGAAUGCGCAGAUAUCAGGAGGAACACCGAUGGCGAAGGCAGAUCUCUGGGCCGUAACUGACGCUGAGGAGCGAAAGGGUGGGGAGCAAACAGGCUUAGAUACCCUGGUAGUCCACCCCGUAAACGUUGGGAACUAGUUGUGGGGUCCAUUCCACGGAUUCCGUGACGCAGCUAACGCAUUAAGUUCCCCGCCUGGGGAGUACGGCCGCAAGGCUAAAACUCAAAGGAAUUGACGGGGACCCGCACAAGCGGCGGAGCAUGCGGAUUAAUUCGAUGCAACGCGAAGAACCUUACCAAGGCUUGACAUAUACGAGAACGGGCCAGAAAUGGUCAACUCUUUGGACACUCGUAAACAGGUGGUGCAUGGUUGUCGUCAGCUCGUGUCGUGAGAUGUUGGGUUAAGUCCCGCAACGAGCGCAACCCUCGUUCUAUGUUGCCAGCACGUAAUGGUGGGAACUCAUGGGAUACUGCCGGGGUCAACUCGGAAGAAAGUUGGGGAUGACGUCAAAUCAUCAUGCC
rnacentral:rRNA from 1 species